CCUACGGGAGGCAGCAGUAAGGAAUAUUGGUCAAUGGAGGCAACUCUGAACCAGCCAUGCCGCGUGCAGGAAGACUGCCCUAUGGGUUGUAAACUGCUUUUAUACGGGAAUAAACCCGGUCUCGUGAGACCGGCUGAAUGUACCGUAAGAAUAAGGAUCGGCUAACUCCGUGCCAGCAGCCGCGGUAAUACGGAGGAUCCAAGCGUUAUCCGGAUUUAUUGGGUUUAAAGGGAGCGUAGGCGGCCAGUUAAGUCAGGGGUGAAAGACGGUGGCUCAACCAUCGCAGUGCCUUUGAUACUGACGGGCUUGAAUGUAGUUGAGGUAGGCGGAAUGUGACAAGUAGCGGUGAAAUGCAUAGAUAUGUCACAGAACACCGAUUGCGAAGGCAGCUUACUAAGCUAUGAUUGACGCUGAGGCUCGAAAGCGUGGGGAUCAAACAGGAUUAGAUACCCUGGUAGUCCACGCCCUAAACGAUGAUAACUCGAUGUUGGCGAUAUACAGUCAGCGUCCAAGCGAAAGCGUUAAGUUAUCCACCUGGGGAGUACGCCCGCAAGGGUGAAACUCAAAGGAAUUGACGG
rnacentral:rRNA from 1 species